rnacentral:rRNA from 1 species
GACGUAGGGCGCGAGCGUUGUCCGGAUUUAUUGGGCGUAAAGAGCUCGUAGGCGGCUUGUCGCGUCGUCUGUGAAAUCCCGCGGCUCAACUGCGGGCUGGCAGUCGAUACGGGCAGGCUGGAGUUCGGUAGGGGAGACUGGAAUUCCUGGUGUAGCGGUGAAAUGCGCAGAUAUCAGGAGGAACACCGGUGGCGAAGGCGGGUCUCUGGGACGGUACUGACGCUGAGACGCGAAAGCGUGGGGAGCGAACAGG